AGGAAACUCCACUGGGAUUAUUAUUGGCAUUAUUGUUGUACUUAUGGUUCUGGUUUUCAACAUUGUUGGAGUCAUCGUCAUCUGGUUGAGGAAAAGAGAUAAUGGAUUUAAGCCAGCAAAUACUUCUGACACGUCGUCCGCCUCUUCAGAUGAAUCAAUUCCCAAGAAAAUGAACAGCGACAAGCAGAAGAUUAUGAAGAAAAAGUAGCUGAAUUGAAAAUCAAAAAAA